rnacentral:rRNA from 1 species
CCUACGGGAGGCAGCAGUGAGGAAUAUUGGUCAAUGGCCGAGAGGCUGAACCAGCCAAGUCGCGUGAGGGAAGAAUGUCCUAUGGAUUGUAAACCUCUUUUGUCAGGGAGCAAAGUCACCCACGUGUGGGUGUUGGAGAGUACCUGAAGAAAAAGCAUCGGCUAACUCCGUGCCAGCAGCCGCGGUACUACGGAGGAUGCGAGCGUUAUCCGGAUUUAUUGGGGUUAAAGGGUGCGUAGGCGGGUUAUCAAGUCAGCGGUAAAAUCGUGGGGCCAAACUCCAUCCAGCCGUUGAUACUGAUGAGCUUGAGUGGGGGAGAAGUAUGCGGAAUGCGAGGUGUAGCGGUGAAAUGCGUAGAGAUCACGCGGAACUCCGAUGGCGAAGGCAGCAUACCGGCGGCGAACUGACGCUGAGGCACGAAAGCGUGGGUAUCGAACAGGAUUAGAUACCCCAGUAGUC